GACGAACGCUGGCGGCGUGCUUAACACAUGCAAGUCGAACGGAAAGGCCCCUUUGGGGGUACUCGAGUGGCGAACGGGUGAGUAACACGUGAGUAACCUGCCCUUGACUUCGGGAUAACUUCAGGAAACUGGGGCUAAUACCGGAUAGGAAUCCUUGCUGCAUGGUGGGGGUUGGAAAGCUUCGGCGGUUUUGGAUGGACUCGCGGCCUAUCAGCUUGUUGGUGGGGUAGUGGCUUACCAAGGCUUUGACGGGUAGCCGGCCUGAGAGGGCGACCGGCCACAUUGGGACUGAGAUACGGCCCAGACUCCUACGGGAGGCAGCAGUGGGGAAUAUUGCACAAUGGGCGGAAGCCUGAUGCAGCAACGCCGCGUGCGGGAUGACGGCCUUCGGGUUGUAAACCGCUUUCAGCAGGGGCGAAGCUUGUGGUGACGGUACCUGCAGAAGAAGCACCGGCUAACUACGU
rnacentral:rRNA from 1 species